GGAAAGAUGGUCUUGUGGUUAAGGCAUUGGACUGAGGUUCCAGAAAUCUCGGUUCCGUUCCUUUUUCUG
rnacentral:tRNA from 1 species